GCCUCGGUAGUCUAAUUGAUUAGGAUACUUGCGUGUAAAACAAGCGAUCCGGGUUCGACUCCCAGCCGAGGUA
rnacentral:tRNA from 1 species